GAGGUAGGAGUAUGGAAGAAAGCAUGGAGCUGAGGGGGCUUGAGGCUCAUGCCCAUGUCUGGGUGGGAGACAUAGAUAGUUUUCACUGUUCAUGUCCCUGUUCCCUUCCUGCAUGAGGACAGGGGCUCCUCUCCAGAACUUGUACACUCUCCAUUACUCCUCAAACAUAGCCCUAACCACAUUGAAAGUACUUAAAUACUUAGACUAAGAAACAAUUACCAAUCAGUCAAAAUACUUAGACAAGCAAUUAAUUUAAUGCUUCCACUGACACAUUUUUGGCAUACUUCUCAUCUUUGUAACAAUUGUUAUUUGUUCAUUUAUAAAAUGACAGAGGUGCAAACACAAAUUCCUACUGGAAGCAAGAAGGUAGCUUUAAAUGAGCAGGCCAAGUUGGGGACAAAAUAGGGAAAGAUGGGGACAUUCUCUAAUUGGAGGACAGACGUCCCUCCUAAGAAGCAGUCAUGUCUCAACCCUAUCCAAUUAUGGCCACUGGGAAUGUAGGCCCUGCAUAUUGCUAAAUGUUUAGAUUUUUUUUCAAGAGAAGGCAAAAAUCUAGAGUUUUAUGUGAAAUUUGCUGAGUUUUAAGUGUUAGCAACUUAAUAAAAAUUUAAAAAUCAUGGCUGCAAGAUGAAAUUGACUUCCUAGCCUCUAGUGUGGGAUUUCUGGUAUGGCUUUUUAUUUAAAAAGUAUUUUUCAGUCUUGACACAAAAUGGAAGGGACUGCUUGAUGACUAUUCAAUCACUAAUCUCCACUCCUUCCUUAAUUUUUCUUUUUCUGGGUAGCCGUAUUCCCAGCUAAAAGAUAUUUUCUCUUACUGCCAGUAGUAUGGUAAAUUCAUGAAGGCAAUACUACAAUAUAAAAUCCUGUCCAAGUAAUAAACAUUAUGGAUGUGCCCAGGGACACCUUCAGUUCACCCAGCAUUUCUUUCACACUUCAACAACAUCCAGAGCAUAUGAGUGACUAAUGAGAUCUAAGUGAAAGUUGCGUGGGAAUUUUGAGAAAGCUCAUUAAAAGAAGCCUACUCAGUUGGGAAGUAUGCCCUUUAAGUGUUCCCCCUUUCUACUCCUUCUAGUCUGGAAUGUGUACAUGAUGGUAGGAGCCAGCACAGCCAUCUUGGACCAUGAGGCAACCUUGAAGCUGGAAGCCAGCACUGAGAUGGUACAGCAAAAGUGAAUAAUAAAAUUCCUACCUGCUACCUCUGCUCAACCUACCCACCCCAAGGGUGCCAGUGAUUUCUACUAGUAUUGGCCAAAUCCAGGAGAUUUUUUUCAGUCUUCAUCUUAAUGUCUCUGAGGCAUUGGACACUGUUGACCGACUCCCCUCUUCUUGGAUCAUUCUUCUUGCAGGCAGCAAACACAAUGGGAUCUGAUGAGGUAUAAGGUAAUUCUGAUUUCUCUAUCUCCUCUUAUGUGCCCUUUUAUCAAAACUAUAGUUUGUAUGGAAAAAUAAAAAUGAAAAACACUCAGGAAAGUCACAAGGUUACAAUAAUUAAGAAUAGGCUAACAGAUCUAUGGAACAGAAUAGAAGUAGACCCAAAUAGGAAUAAGAAUUUGGCAUAAUAUAAAGGAGAAAUUUUAAGUUGAUGCUGAAAAAAAAAAUAGAUUACUCAAUAAAUAAUCUAGGAGCAAUUGGCUGGUUGUUUAGAAAGAAAAAAAGAUCUCAUCUUACUUCUUACACCAAAAUAUAUUCCAGAUCAAUGAAAGAUUUAAAUUAAAAAAAAAAAAAAAACAAACAAACCAUAAAAGUUCUAGAAAAAAAAGCCUGAGUGAUUGAAAAAAAA